rnacentral:rRNA from 1 species
UACGUAGGGACCGAGCGUUGUCCGGAAUCAUUGGGCGUAAAGAGCGUGUAGGCGGCCUUUUAAGUCCUGCGUGAAAUCCUGCGGCUCAACCGCAGACGGUCGUGGGAAACUGGAAGGCUAGAGUGCGGGAGAGGAGAGUGGAAUCCCGGUGUAGCGGUGAAAUGCGCAGAUAUCGGGAAGAACACCCGUGGCGAAGGCGGCUCUCUGGAACGCAACUGACGCUGAGACGCGAAAGCGUGGGGAGCAAACAGG